GGAAUAUUGGACAAUGGGCGCAAGCCUGAUCCAGCCAUGCCGCGUGCAGGAUGACGGUCCUAUGGAUUGUAAACUGCUUUUAUACGAGAAGAAACACUCCUUCGUGAAGGAGCUUGACGGUAUCGUAAGAAUAAGGAUCGGCUAACUCCGUGCCAGCAGCCGCGGUAAUACGGAGGAUCCAAGCGUUAUCCGGAAUCAUUGGGUUUAAAGGGUCCGUAGGCGGUUUAAUAAGUCAGUGGUGAAAGCCCAUCGCUCAACGGUGGAACGGCCAUUGAUACUGUUAGACUUGAAUUAUUAGGAAGUAACUAGAAUAUGUAGUGUAGCGGUGAAAUGCUUAGAGAUUACAUGGAAUACCAAUUGCGAAGGCAGGUUACUACUAAUUGAUUGACGCUGAUGGACGAAAGCGUGGGUAGCGAACAGGAUUAGAUACCCUGG
rnacentral:rRNA from 1 species